AACCAUCCGAAGAAAACACUCAGCACCCUUCCAUUUUCCAACAUAUUCACCCCACCACGAACAACACAAACAACAACCAUACCCAUCCUCACAGCUACACUGCAGCAGACAGACUCUUACUUAAAUCUCCAGGAUCUCCUACAUCAAAUACAAACACCAAUAAAACCUAAAAGAAACAGUACAUCCAAAUAGAUAGUUGACGGGUAACCUCAGCAACAAGGUGACCAACCAUAAGGCAUAAGAGAGGAAGGUCCCACACCACGCACCUGAGACACGGUCCACCCUUUUACUGCAGGCAACACUGAGGAAUCUUGGUCAAUGGACGGAAGUCUGAAACAGCCAAGUAGCGUGCAGGAUGACGGCCCUAUGGGUUGUAAAAUGCUUUUGUAUGGGGAUAAAGCUAGGGACGUGUCCCUAUUUGCAGGUCCCAUACGAAUAAGGACCGGCUAAUUCCGUGCCAGCAGCCGCGGUAAUACGGAAGGUCCAGGCGUUAUCCGGAUUUAUUGGGUUUAAAGGGAGCGUAGGCUGGAGAUUAAGUGUGUUGUGAAAUGUAGACGCUCAACGUCUGAAUUGCAGCGCAUACUGGUUCCCUUGAGUACGCACAACGUUGGCGGAAUUCGUCGUGUAGCGGUGAAAUGCUUAGAUAUGACGAAGAACUCCGAUUGCGAAGGCAGCUGACGGGAGCGCAACUGACGCUUAAGCUCGAAGGUGCGGGUAUCAAACAGG
rnacentral:rRNA from 1 species